rnacentral:rRNA from 1 species
UGGGGAAUAUUGCACAAUGGGCGCAAGCCUGAUGCAGCCAUGCCGCGUGUAUGAAGAAGGCCUUCGGGUUGUAAAGUACUUUCAGUCGGGAGGAAGGUGUCAAGGUUAAUAACCUUGGCAAUUGACGUUACCGACAGAAGAAGCACCGGCUAACUCCGUGCCAGCAGCCGCGGUAAUACGGAGGGUGCAAGCGUUAAUCGGAAUUACUGGGCGUAAAGCGCACGCAGGCGGUUGAUUGAGUCAGAUGUGAAAUCCCCGGGCUUAACCCGGGAAUUGCAUCUGAUACUGGUCAGCUAGAGUCUUGUAGAGUGGGGUAGAAUUCCAUGUGUAGCGGUGAAAUGCGUAGAGAUGUGGAGGAAUACCGGUGGCGAAGGCGGCCCCCUGGACAAAGACUGACGCUCAGGUGCGAAAGCGUGGGGAGCAAACAGG